GACAGAGGGGGCAAGCGUUGCUCGGAAUUACUGGGCGUAAAGGGCGCGUAGGCGGGAUGUCAAGUCGGUCGUGAAAUCCCUCGGCUCAACCGAGGAACGUCGAUCGAUACUGCUGUUCUUGAGGAUUGCAGAGGAGACUGGAAUUCCCGGUGUAGCGGUGAAAUGUGUAGAGAUCGGGAGGAACACCGGUGGCGAAGGCGGGUCUCUGGGCAAUUCCUGACGCUGAGGCGCGAAAGCGUGGGGAGCAAACGGG
rnacentral:rRNA from 1 species